CAAUUGCAGCUUUUUUUUUUUCGAUAAAGAAGCAAUUGCAACCACAGGUUGAACUAGAGUACUGGUUUACUUUUCCUGAACUCAUGCUUGGUUAUGUAGCUUCUGUUAGAGACUCAAGUGUUCCUGUGUUUGGGUUUUUGUCUCUCUUUCAGUUCCAGCAUUGACUUCGAAUUUAAUUGAACUGAUAGCGCGACGCUACCUCUAUACAAAAAAUAUAUAAGGGGAAUUACUAACAUGGACAGCAGAUGGGGGCUACGUGUAUUUGGUCAUUUCAUAUGUUUACUUGAAUAUAAUUUUACAUGUCCAAGUAUGUUACUUCUUGGCGCUAGUAGUUUGCGUUUCCCCAAAUGGAAAAACAAUUUUGACAGUUAUCUCCCAUACAGGAAACAGACCACAAUUUCCCCUUUCCGAUACUUACAUUGAAUCCACAUCUACUACGUAAUUGACGAAUGCUACAAUCUACAAUUACUUGUAUUAUUUUCCUUUGCACUAUGCCACUAUCUUCAUCCAUUUCUCCAAUUCUAGACAAAUCCACCAGCACCACUGUGUGUCCUGUACGUAUGCACAGCUUCCCUAUAGAAAAUGCCUGGAUCAUGAUGUGUUUCCCUUUCACUGUGAGCAUUUAUCCACAGGAACAUCUUUGCUUCAUGUAUUCCAACUAGACGAGGCAGGCCAUGGAGUAGGUGCCGUUGCACUAGAUGUCAUUUGACCUGCUGAUGCCCAAGGAUCGCAUGGACUCUGAUAAAUCUCUUGCAAAUUCGGCACUCAAAAACAUAGCAUGGGCGACGCCGGACAUGAACAAGCAUCAAUAGGAACCCUGUAUUCCGACUCAAACUCAGCUACCACAAGUUGGAUUAUGUCCAACUGUGUCCCCCUGAAAAAAAAAUUAUACUCGCUCUAUUUUUCAAAUGUAAGUUCGUUCAAUAUGCACGGAAUUCUGGAGCAGUAUGAAGUGUUUCUGGGUUUAUGGGACCGAGGCCCAUAUAUCAGUGUGUACCUUUUGUUUAUGGAACAUCAUCAAGAGGGCAGGGAGCUCCUGCUAAUUUAAGAAAACUGGAUCAGUUAUAAGUGAAACUAGGACUAAAACUGUACAAAGCGCGGUUGAUUUAAGGACAUCCCAAAACCCUGCCAAUGGAGAAUACCAUGUAGCCUAAGCCUGAGGCACGAUUGAUGUGUACCUUCUCCAUCGUGGACUAUGCCACAUCUUCUGUGUUCAGAUAAGUUCAGUAUGCAAUGUAGAAGAUUGUGGCUAUACAUAGAACCUGGCCAUUAAGUAACAGCUAUGAACAAGCUGAAGCAUGAGACUAACUCAUUGAUACGGUUGGAGCAGGCUCAAGUCCAGCUUA